AUAUUUACACACACUCAAGUCUCCCUAAGUAAUAUUAUCUACUCCCUCAUAUGACUUUAGAUCCCUCUUCUCAAUAUUGGAAUCCUCAAGAAAAACAUGGUCUUGAUUAGUAUUCUCGUUUUAGCUCCUCAAUUUGGCCUAGAAGAUUUUUUUUAGCUUCACAGAACUCAUUAUUAAUUUGUUGGUUAUUACACGCAUCAAACUUUUUGCUCAAAUCACCAUCUACAUUAUGUACAACCAAGCAAAAUAAUCAAUUUGAUAUGCAAGUUCAUCUCUCUUCUUUGACCAGUUAUUCACCAACGUUGUUAGAAGACAACGUCAUUCCUCAUAUUCGCCUAAUCGAUAAUAUACUUCCCAAUACCAAACCUUACUCUUAUAUUCAAAUUCAGACCUCCCGGAUGUCAUGUUGAGAGAACUAGAAACACACUAGGAGAAAAGUCAAAUAGUUAUAAAAUUAAAAUAUUUACUUAAAUAGAAGAAAAAAAAACUUGUAAAGAUAAAAGUAAAAGUCUAAUUUAGAAAAAUAGUUAAUUUCUACGUCCUUGGAAACGGCACCAAAAACUUGUUGCGGUCAAACGCACACGCAAGUAUACACAGUCGUCAAGUAAUAAAGUGACUAAAAGUUGAAUGUCGAACCCACGAGGACUUGUGAUUAACUAUUAACUAAAUUAGACUAUCCUAAUUAUUUAAACAAGAA
rnacentral:lncRNA from 1 species